rnacentral:rRNA from 1 species
GAUGAACGCUGGCUACAGGCUUAACACAUGCAAGUCGAGGGGAAACGACGGGGAAGCUUGCUUCCCCGGGCGUCGACCGGCGCACGGGUGAGUAACGCGUAUCCAACCUGCCUCUGACUGAGGGAUAACCCGUCGAAAGUCGGCCUAAUACCUCAUGGCAUCGUCUGCGGGCAUCCAACGACGAUUAAAGAUUUCAUCGGUCAGGGAUGGGGAUGCGUCUGAUUAGCUUGUUGGCGGGGUAACGGCCCACCAAGGCUACGAUCAGUAGGGGUUCUGAGAGGAAGGUCCCCCACAUUGGAACUGAGACACGGUCCAAACUCCUACGGGAGGCAGCAGUGAGGAAUAUUGGUCAAUGGGCGGGAGCCUGAACCAGCCAAGUAGCGUGCAGGAUGACGGCCCUAGGGGUUGUAAACUGCUUUUAUGCGGGGAUAAAGUGAGGGACGUGUCCUUCAUUGCAGGUACCGCAUGAAUAAGGACCGGCUAAUUCCGUG